AGGAAGGAUAUGUUUAGAUUUGUAACUGUUGUUUGCCCCAGCUUCUACGUAUGUAAGGCUGGGGUAUAUCAAAUGUGUGAUCACUGUGUCCUUGUGUGUAAGUGCGAAUGGUGUUAACAGCAUGAUAACGUGACAGAUGGGAGUUGUGGCACUGCUUGUGUGGGAGAGGGAAUCCUUUCUAAUUCCAAGGGAGAGAAAUGAGAAGUAGGGAGAAAAAGAAAAGGGAAGAGAAGAGACUAGGGAUGAGGGCAUCAUUGUGCUGAGUGCUUAACUGCCCCUGUGCUUAACUGGCCCUGUGCUUAGAUAAAGGGGAUAAAGCUCAUCCCCAGCUGCCUUUGUUCGCAGAGCCUAGGGCUGGGGACGUAUUCAAGGUCCCUGGGAAGCUCUGCGGUUGGGCUCUGACACUCAGUCCCAGCGUGCCCCCGGGCUGCUCCGGGCCUUGGGCAGUUUUCAACAUCUUUCCCUUUCCAUUCACUCUCCCCUUCUGUUCUUGGGUUCACCAGCUGAGACUCUGGAAGGGGAGGGGCCAAGCGUGGACCAUCGGGGGCGGGGCCCAGACUGUCCAAUCGCAUGUACGGGGUGGGGCCCAGUGUUCGUGGGGGCGGAGCCUCCCCUUCAAAGUUAAAGACUCGCCCUUGGAGCCCGAGCCGGGCAGCUCCAAGCUAUCUUCGGGCUGACGAUGCUGACCACAGAUCCAGGUCCGCAGGAUGGAGCCUGGGGAGAGCUCGUUCCUUUGCUCUUGGGCCUUAGCACCGCUUUCUACCUGGGCUACUACUGGGCAUGUGUGCCUCAGAAGCCUCGGCUAGUGGCUGGGCCCCAGUUCCAGGCCUUCCUGAAGCAGCACUGCCCUAUUAUCGCAGAAACAUUCUACCCUACAUUCUGGUGUUUCGAAGGGAGGCUUCAAACCGUCCUCCGAGUCUUUGUGCAGUCUCGGCCUCCUGUCUCUUACUGGAGUGAGGUACUCCAGACACCUGAUGGGGGACAGCUCCUGUUAGAUUGGGCCGAAGAACCUGAGAAUAGCCAAUAUCCUAACCCUGUCAACCGGCCCACUGUGCUACUGCUCCCAGGCAUCACAGGCAGCAGCCAGGAGACCUAUAUCCUCCACCUAGUAUACCAGGCCACUCUAGAUGGCUACAGGACUGUUGUGUUUAAUAACCGGGGCUGCCGUGGGGAAGAACUGCUGACCCACAGGGCCUUUUGCGCUGGUAACACAGAGGACCUGGAGGUAGUUGUGAAUCACAUAAAGGACCAGUAUCCACAGUCCCCACUGCUGGCUGUAGGAAUCUCACUAGGAGGGGUCUUGGUGCUGAACCAUCUGGCACACACAGGUAAUGCAGCAGGGCUGGUGGCAGCACUGACCCUGUCUGCAUGCUGGGACUCCUUUGAAACCACACGCUCCUUAGAGACACCACUCAAUGCACUGCUCUUCAACCAGCACCUCACAGCUGCACUCUGCCGAUUUGUGGGACGACACAGGAAAGCAAUUGAAGAGAAACUGGAUGUGGACUAUGUGCUUAAGGCCCGAACAAUCCGACAGUUUGAUGAGCGCUAUACCACACUGGCCUUUGGCUAUAAAGACUGUGAUACCUACUACCAUUCAGCAAGCCCUGGAGCCAAGGUGGAAGCAAUCUGCAUCCCUGUGCUCUGUCUCAAUGCAGCAGAUGACCCAUUCUCCCCACCUCAAGUGUCCAGGGUCCUGAUCCCCCAGGAAACAAGGAAGGCUAGAGAAAGCCUGGGAAGACACUCUGAAGCAGCAGGAUGGCCAAAAUGAUGAGCCCAGCACACAGCAGCAGCAACAACCACACAGGGACACUCCCUAGGAGAAAGUCCAGAGAAUAGGCACAGAGUACUCAAAUCUAAAGCAAGAAACAAAGUAGCCCAGCUUCCUUUGGGGCAGACAGCACAUGCUGAGAAAAUGAUGAAGCUUCCAAGAAAUGAUGCUAUACUCUCCCAUUCCCCCCCCCCCCUCCACUUUUGCUUCUAGUUUUUCACAUCCCUACCUCCCCAAAACUCACGCCGAAUGGGCAAGAGAUGCAGUUGGCAUCGGCUGUCCACAGCCACAGAGAAUAAUGCUGCUUCAUGAGACCCCAGCAACUCUCGGCCACGUCCCUGCUCUGGCAUGAAGACCACAUCUGUCACUACAAUGCCAUGAGCCUCUCGAAGAUAGUAGAGGCGCUGGGGAGAAAAGGACAGAAGCGGUCAUGAAGAAUCUUCCUUUAUUUACCCUCCCUCUCAAGCCCUCACACCUGCAAGCUUGAUAACGGUAAGGUGUGUCUGGUAAAGGAGGCAAGUUUUCAUCCCAACGCAACCCUGUCACCAGCUGAUCUCUCUGCCAAACACAAGCUUUAAAAUCCCAGCCUGUUGUCACCAUCUGAUGGAGAAGCAGAAAGGAGGUCAUGGAAGGACAUUAGUGAGACACAUUUACUGGACAAGAUGAACUUCCAUGUCUUUUCAUGUUUCCUUUCCAAUAUCCUCACCUUGUCACCAGGGCCCAAAGCCAAGUCUUCAAUCUCUCCCUCAUGAGCUUUAAACUCCAGAACCUUCUCAAGGCUAGGCACCUGCAGCCAAAAUCACAAAUCUAUACUUAGACCAAUGAUCAUGGCCUGGCCAACUUAUUCUAUUUCAGGGCCUAAUAAGCUGGCUUCCUCUUCCCACUCAGUCCCUGAAUCUCAGAGGCUGUUCUCGGGAUUUAACCAAUAAAUUCAUCAAGGACUCAUUCCAAA